rnacentral:rRNA from 1 species
CCUACGGGAGGCAGCAGUAGGGAAUAUUGGGCAAUGGAGGCAACUCUGACCCAGCCAUGCCGCGUGCAGGAUGAAGGCGUUAUGCGUUGUAAACUGCUUUUAUAUAGGAAGAAAGAGUUCUUGCGAGAACAGUUGACGGUACUAUAUGAAUAAGCACCGGCUAACUCCGUGCCAGCAGCCGCGGUAAUACGGAGGGUGCAAGCGUUGUCCGGAUUUAUUGGGUUUAAAGGGUGCGUAGGCGGUUUAUUAAGUCAGUGGUGAAAGACGGUCGCUCAACGAUUGCAGUGCCAUUGAUACUGGUAGACUUGAGUGAGAUUGAGGUAGCUGGAAUGGAUAGUGUAGCGGUGAAAUGCAUAGAUAUUAUCCAGAACACCAAUUGCGUAGGCAAGUUACUAAAGUCUCAACUGACGCUGAGGCACGAAAGUAGUGGGUAGUCAAACAAGGAUUAGAUACCCUCGUAGGUACACCACUAGUAACGAAACUNANAACUAACUAGUUGGUGUUCGUUUCGGAGUGGUACGAGAGAAAUAACGUUAAGUUUAAUUACUACCCACGGAGGGUAAGCCGGCCGACGUACGGAAGUAACAACGAAAGUAGUAGGACGGAGAGAGAGCGACGACGACGACGACGAGGGAGGAGG